UGCAGGGUCAAUCUCAUAAAAAAACUAAAAAAAAGUUUUUACCGGCCCUGUCACCAAAAUCUUUUGUAACCUUGAGGUUUUAUAUAGAGGUAAAAUAUUAAUGUUUCAGGUAAUCUGUUUAUUUAGAUGUUUAAUGCCAAUCUUCUCGUAAUUAAAUCAUUUGCCAUCAAAAGAUUCAUAUUUAUAUUGUUGAAAUCCAAAGUAGAUUGUAAAUAUUUGACUAAAAUAAAAAUGAAACAAAAUCUUGGUUAUAAAAGUGAUUCACAAACAUUCAAAUCUUCGGGGGGAAAAAACCUUUGUAAAUCCAUUUUAGACAACUACAUACUGUACUUCGCAUGUUUACCGUGUUUAAAUUGAGUAUGUCGACUUAAUGUGACAUAUCGUAGGCUUUUGUCACUGUUUUUCUAGAUUCACUUUGAACGUGAACUGGACAGUUCGUAAGCAUUAACAUUAUUUUAUGUCUUUCAUAAAUUUAGUCAGAGAAAAAAAUGCAAUUUUUGUGUGUAUAAAAUGCAAUUGUUUUGGUCAUACAUUUUAUUUGUUCAUUUUUUGUAUGGCUUUAUUUUGAAGCUGUGGAGAAUAUGAUGCAUGUUUUAGAUGGCCCUUAUUUCGACUGGUAAUUUUCCUUGUGAAUGUGUAGGUUAAUUUUUAGAUAUUUUUUGUCCGUAGUUCCUUUUAUGUUUUUAUAUCAAUAUCGACUGUCCAUCUAUUAUUUUAUAUUUUGUAUUGUAAACAAUGAAAUUGUUAUAGUGACAAAUAUGACCAAAUAGCCAGUAUAUGUAAUCUGAAACAAUCAAUUUUAUUUAAAUUUUUUUAUUAUUUCAUUUAGACAAGUGUUGAUAUAAAUGAUAUUUUCACUUCUAUGGCAACCUUGUAUAAUUAUGUAAACUUUAAUAACUUUUUUGAUGUUUUUUUUUUUAUCAUUUCUUUAAAUUUUAAACAAGUGGUGAUAUAAAUGAUAUUUUCACUUAUAUGGUGAUAUAACCUCAGUCUUGAAUAAACUAAAAGUAUUUACUGAUGACUAGUAUCACUAUUUUUACUUUUAUCCUGUAAAUGUUUACCUAAAUUUCUUAAAUGGAUUUGCCCAACUUCUGUUUUAUGAACUUUCCAUUGUCAAUUUUAGGGAUAUCAAAAUUACAAAAUUUGGACACCGUAAUGAAAUAAAGUAAUACAAAUGCAUUGCUUUGCACUGCUGCAGGUGGGGGAAAUGGGUAGACUUAUAUAAGUUAUAUCUUAAGUAUUAAGAAUUUCAAUUUUCUCAUUAUUCAUCGUCUUAUGUGUAGACAAUACAUUAUAGGUGUAAUUGAUUUGUCAGAGUUGUUUGAUUGGAUGAUAUUUCACCAGUUUUUAUGGUGUUUUUUGUGUCAUUUAUUGUCCUAUAAAUCACAAUAAUGAUAAUGUGUGUAACUUAAUCCAGUAUAAAUUGUCAGUGUAAGAUAGGGCUGUCAAUCAUGUUUGUUUCUAAUUUAAAUAUAUCAACACCUGGACCAGAGAUUCUAGUGCAUAACGGUCACUAGUUAAAUGAUAGCCUAUUUUGAUCUUUUUACAUUUGUUUAUAACUGUAUCUUCUGAAGAAAUUGCAAUAUAAUAAUGCUGAAAAAUGUGGAAUAAACACUGAAAUAUUAUGAUUAGUCUGGAAAUAAAAGAUAUCAACAAUAGUCAACCAUAGUUGUUAGCAAUUUCCUGAAUUUUAAACAAAAAAGUCCAGACAAUGUUAUAUGAUAGCCAGGGAACCCGGAUCGGGGAAAAAUAAUGGGUUUUUUUAUAUCAUUUAUUGUAAUAUUUUGCCUAUAUAUAGUUUCAUCAUUUAUAUAUAAUCUAGUCUAGUCAGGAUAGAUAACCCUUUGACUAAUACGGGGUAAGAUAGACUUUCCUUUAUGUAUAUUUUCAAGAGAUUUGUCUCCCUUUGAUGCCAUUUUUUCAGUAAAACCGGUAAAUUUUUGACAAUUCUUCAUAUAUUAUUUAUAUUUACAUAUCAUUCCCACCAAAAGGAUUGUCAGGUAAACACAAUGUUGUGGCAAAGGUCAUUAAGACAUCAUUACUCCUACUGUUUGUGUCACCUUCCACUGCAAUACCAGAAAAAAUACAGCUGUAAGAUUCAAAAUGGUUAUAAUAUAAAUAGUGCAUAACAUUUUUUCAUUAGGUUUUAAGACACAAAGACAUUGUUAAGGUCAUAUGGCAAUUUUCCAGCUUUAUUAAUAAAGGAAAACCUCUGGUAACCCCAAACAUCCAAGAACAUGCCACUGACACCUGUUGUGUAUUAUAUUAAGCUGGUAACAAAAAAAGAGUCACUGGCCUUCUGUUAUUUGAAUAGCUUCCUCACAUAAAAGUUCCUAGUGGGAUUCAAACUAAUGAAUACACCCUAAUACAUUGUAGCACUUAAUCUUAGUGUGUAUAUUAGUGGCACUAAUAUACACACCAAUAUGAAUAUUAGUUUGGAUUCCUAGUUGAUUCUGACUAAUAUUCCUUUUGGUGUGUAUAUAAGUACCACAUAUAUGCACACUUAGAGUAAGUGCUACAAUAUAUUAGCAUUUUCUAUGUCCAUAGCAGGAUCAUGGUAAUUGUCUAUAUGAAAGACCCAAAUGUACUUAAAGUCAUCCGGUUAGCUCAUUAGUAGAGUGUUGGCCUGUGAAUCAGGAGACCUGGGUCUGAUUCCUGAAACAUGCAGGUCACUUUUGUUGCGAUUGAUCAUGAAAUCCUUUCUACGGUCAUUUGCACUGUACUUCCGCUCUGGCAUGUACAGAAGUAAUCAGUUUCUUGCAUAAGUGAAGGCAACUAGUACUAGUGAACAAUUUGACAGCUUUCUCAGGAACAAUGCCGUGGCUGAACAGUGCUCUGGUAAAUUCAAUGUGGACACCACAACCACUAAAUGUACUAAAAUUAAUCCAUUUGAAAAUACCACCAUUGUUAUUUUUAUUUUCUGUAGCAUUUUUGUUGGUUAUUCAACAUCUAUACUCCCAAGUUUUAGACAUGUACUUGUUUUAAGUAAAACAAUUACUUCAAGAAAUAUUAUCAUUUUAUUUUUUCAUUUAUAUGAAAUACAAAAUAAAUGUACUGUAGACUGUAAAUGUAAUAUGUAUUAGUUGUUUUUGUAGAAGAUAGAAUUCAGAUUUAUGCGAGAAACAUACUGUAAAUUCACUUAAAUUCGUGGGCAUAAAAUUUUGUGGUUUUGUCACAAAAGACAUAACCAUGUAUUUUCAAACUUGAGGCUUGUCUAUUUUGUAUUAAUGUAAAUUGCAAAUGAAUGUAAUGCAAAAACAAAUCUUAAAGUUUUGUUUGAAAUUUUGUUGCAUCUUAAAUUCAUUGAUUGAUUAACCUAUCCAUGAAAAUUAGUGCCCCGUGAAUAAUAAUGAUUUUGCAGUAACAAAUGAAAUCCAUGUUUUUUAAUUUGUGUGCUUCAAUAUAAAUGUUAUCUUACCAGCAUGUACCAGUUUAUAAAAAUUGAACAAAGAUAUUUUGAAUCGUUCCUCAGUGCUCAAAGCAAUCUCAUUGAAAUCAUAUCCUAACUGUUGCUAGACUUCCCUUUCCUAUGUGUCGAAAAGUUACAGAGUGAAAACAAUGACCUGAUUUUAAUGUGAUUGGUGCUCAAAGCUAAUCCCUACCUAGAGUUGUCUUUCCUGACUUCUGUGAAUAAUAAGGAGCAUAACUAUCGAUGGGGGACGGUACAAAGCACUUAACAAAACUGUGCUUUAUUAUUAACAAAGUCUCACUUUUCACCAAUGAGUGUUUUUCUACAGUUAUACUUUCAAUAGAUUGCUCUAUUGUAGUUUUUCUGUUAUGUUAACAUUACUACAAAAUUUUUACUAAAUUUAUUCUGAAAAUCUAUCAGAGACCACUAAGACCGAGGUAAUUUUAGAGAUUUGUUGCCUUGGUUGACAUUUUAGAACUGCUGUAAAACUUGUUAAUUAUCCUAAACUUAAAAUUAUUUCACCUUUAACUCUAUCAAAAAUUUUUAAAAAGGCUUCCAUAGUGUACCUUAAAGGUUUUUUCAAAAAGAUAAACGAAUAUUUAUGAAGUUUUGUAUAUAUAAAUGAAGUUUUAAAAUGUACAUGAUGAGCAAAGUGAGAAAAUAUGGGUUUUUUUUAUAAAAUCAAAUUUGACUAUCAGAUUUUUAAUGUCAUAUUCUUUUUACAGGGUGCUGUAAGUGGAUUUGUUUUUUAUAAUCAUGUAUUUAAUUGAUAAUUAUACAUUAUAUUGACUAAUGUACAAGAUUUUUAGCAUUUACUUAUUUUGCUGUGAUGUUUUAAAAUUUGAGGAAUUAAAUUUUUAUUAUCCUUUUUCAUUCAUGUUUUAUCUCAUCUAUCACAUUUAUACAGUGAAGAACAAAAUACACGUGUAUAUGUACCUAUGAAGUAAAUCUUAAUUUAUGUUAAAUGUUUAUUUACAUUAAAACUACUUUUUGGAUGUAGUUUUGAUGUAAAUGUAAAUUUAUAAGGGAGUUCCACCUUGUAUGUAGUUUUGAUGUAAAUGUUGAUUUGCAUUAGUUACAUCUUUGAAGUAAAUGUUUAUUUAGAUUUGAAGUUUCAUCUUGGAUGUAGCUGUGAAGUAAAUGUGGAUGUGUAUUGGGAGUUAUAACAUUGAUGUAACUGUGAAGUAAAUGUAUAUUUGCAUUUGAAGUUACAUCUUGGUUGUACCUGUGAAGUAAAUGUAGAUUUGUUUUACAUUUACAUCACAUCAUGUAAACAGAUCAUCAUCAUUAUUGUUCAAUUUUAUGCCAAGUUUCAAAUAAUAAACAAUUUGCCACCUUA